rnacentral:rRNA from 1 species
AGCGAGGAAUAUUGGUCAAUGGACGGAAGUCUGAACCAGCCAUGCCGCGUGCAGGAUGACGGCUCUAUGAGUUGUAAACUGCUUUUAUGCUAGGGUAAACUCGGGUACGUGUACCCGACUGAAAGUAUAGCAAGAAUAAGGAUCGGCUAACUCCGUGCCAGCAGCCGCGGUAAUACGGAGGAUCCAAGCGUUAUCCGGAUUUAUUGGGUUUAAAGGGUGCGUAGGCUGCUCGAUAAGUUAGAGGUGAAAAUUCGUCGCUUAACGACGGACGUGCCUCUGAUACUGUCGGGCUAGCGAGAGAGUGCUGUGGGCGGAAUGUGUAGUGUAGCGGUGAAAUGCUUAGAGAUUACACAGAACACCGAUUGCGAAAGCAGCUCACAAACUCUUUUCGGACGCUGAGGCACGAAAGCGUGGGGAGCAAACAGGAUUAGAUACCCUGGUAGUCCACGCUGUAAACGAUGAUUACUCGUUGUCGGCGAUAUAGCGAUC